rnacentral:misc_RNA from 1 species
CCUAAGCCAAACCCUAGGUUCUUUACCAUCAAAAGUAAUCAACUUAACUUUAGGCAAAAAUCUAGACAUACCUUCAACUUCAGUUAUAGAUCCAGCACUAUUAGCCCCUCUCUGACCUGUAGUAAUGUUCUCCCUUGGCAUAGGAAGUAUUCCCCUUCCUCCAAGAGUAGCCAUAGAAGUACCAGCCUCCUCAUUGCCUCCAUGAUGGUUUCCCCUGGCCUUCUGAGCCAAAUUUUUACCAAACAUAAUUUUCCUGGUAUCAAUUGCAGAUUGCUUGAUUUCCUCCCUCAAUUCUAUUGCAGAUUGCUUGAUUUCCCCACGCAAUUCCUCCUUAUUUUUCUUAAAAUCCUCAUGUAAAACCCUAACUUGUUCCUCCAACUCUGAAACCCUAGAUUCUUGAGUAACUGUUCCAGAUCUAGUCAUCUUGCGACACUUCAGAUCUGAAAUUGGCUGGUUCCCUCACGCUACAAGCUCUGAUACCAAAUUGUUAAAGAUCAGAUCUGAAUUAA